rnacentral:lncRNA from 1 species
ACUGGGCCAGCAGAGCCUGGAUAAGCCUGUGUCCGUCUCACAGGACCAUCUGCUGAGGAGGGCACGCCACGCUGCCUCUUGUGGGGGUGGGGUGGCCAGGCUCACCGUCAUGCCCCGGUGGGACCCCCUCUUGUCUGCCGUGGCUCCCUUGACCCUGCAUGGGUGCUGUGGCACGGGGCUCCCAGGGUCUUCUCGGCUCUGCCUUCGAUGCAAGGGGCAGCGAGGGGGAGCGAGGGGCAGUGUGUGCACCUGCAGGGGCUGCUUCCUGCUGCCAGCCUCCGGUUCUCUCUCCCGCACUGCCGCCGGCACCGCCUGUUCCACUGCAUGCUGUCAGUGCUUCCUCCGUCAGCUGCCCCGGCUGUGCCCACAGAGACCUCCUCCCCGUCUCCCUUCUGCUCACCGCCUGGUGUCUCGGGGUGAGGGACAUCCACCCGGAGCCCCAGUGCGCCCAGGGAGCACUCACUGCCCGGGGCCGGAGGUGGGUCCCACUCUGUCUUCCAGGGGGGCUGUUUGCGUCCCAGCGAGUUCGGUCCCGGUACUCAGGCCACGUUGCCAGCGGCCUGCCGCCAUCACCUUCUUCGCUGAUCUUCCUUGAGCGGCCUGGAGCCUCUUACCCCUCCCAUGGGCCUUCACUGCCCGGACUUUCUCGCGCUAGUUGGCGUUCAGUCCGCGGAUCUCUUCCUGGCCUUCACGGCCCUGGGACCGCCGGUGCUGGCCGAUGCACUCUGAGCUUCCUCCCGCUCGCUUCCCUGAGCCACCCGAGAUGCCCUCUCCCUGGACGGCUGCCCCGGGCUUGCCUGGUUCACGCCCAGUCUGCAGGUGCCCCGGGCUCCGGUUGAAAGUUCCCUGUGACUGCCAUUGCCCCUCAGCCUUGAACCGACACUGCCCUGUCAGCGGUUCUGGGCUCCAGGCAGCUUUGCCUCUCGGGAGCAGGUUCUGCUGGCCAGAGAGCCGAGCGCGGGCGAGUCAUGGUUCCCGAUGCGACUCCGCCUAGCUGGGACUCCC